GGACGAACGCUGGCGGCGUGCUUAACACAUGCAAGUCGAGCGGUAAGGCCCUUUCGGGGGUACACGAGCGGCGAACGGGUGAGUAACACAUGGGUGACCUGCCCUCAGCUCUGGGAUAAGCCUGGGAAACCGGGUCUAAUACUGGAUAUGACUCCAUGACGCAUGUUGUGGGGUGGAAAGCCUUGUGCGGCUGAGGAUGGGCCCGCGGCCUAUCAGCUUGUUGGUGGGGUGAUGGCCUACCAAGGCGACGACGGGUAGCCGGCCUGAGAGGGCGACCGGCCACACUGGGACUGAGACACGGCCCAGACUCCUACGGGAGGGCAGCAGUGGGGAAUCUUGCGCAAUGGGCGAAAGCCUGACGCAGCGACGCCGCGUGAGGGAUGACGGCCU
rnacentral:rRNA from 1 species